CCAGUCGUUGAGCUUUUUGCUACUGGCGUCGCACUGUGUGACGGAGAGAAAUGGUCUAAGCAUAGGAAGAUAAUAAACCCUUCUUUUCAUUUAGAGAAGCUCAAGGUCUUUCUUACAUCAAUUCUCAUGGUUUUUUCAAAAUGUGAUAAAUCAUAUGUUGAUUUUGCCUUUUGUUUGCUUUGCAGGUUAUGACACCUGCCUUCUACGAGAGCUGCAGUGAGAUGACAAGUAAAUGGGAGAGAUUGGUGAGCGAGCAGGGAUCAUCGAAUGAGAUUGAUAUUUGGCCAUACCUUUGUGAUGUAACAUCAGAUGUCAUUUCGCGUACUGCGUUUGGUAGUAGCUACGAGGAAGGUAAGAGAAUCUUUGAGCUUCAAGAAGAACAAGGCCGGCGACUUUUAAAAGCUCUUGAGCUGGAUUUUAUCC
rnacentral:lncRNA from 1 species